GCCAUUUCCCCUCGUCUUGUCACCUGUCACCAGUGAGAAGAGACCUACCCCGCUCUCACUGUAAGCACCUUCCAAGUACUGGAAGAGAGUUAUAAGGUCUUUAUGGUUCUAUGAAUGACUCUGAGAGCCCUGAGCAGCUCCUCCAACUCCAAGGCAUACAUUUCUAAAACAUCUCUAAAAACCUAUCCUGUAGCAUUUGUGUUAAAACCCUGACUCCAAACCCCUUCCCCAUGCUGCAGGUGCAGGUGCUGCCAGCAGUGACAGGUGGCCAGCUCUGUCAGCACCUCACCCAGUGCCCGGCACCGCUCUGUGCUGGGCGAGGCCUCUUCCUCUCAGGCUCUGACUCAUGCCCACAUGCGUGAGCAGGAUGUGCAUCACAGGCCAGCCCGGUCCCUGCUCGCCCACUGAGACCCAUGAGGACAGCCCUGCCCGUGGUCAGCAGCUGAAGGACUUCAGAUCACAUGCAGCACUGAACUGAAGUGAGAUGUAUUUCCAGCACGUCCUCCUCUAGCAUAGAAGUCCUGGAUCCAAGAUGGCCCAGUGUGGACCAUACUAUCAACACGCUUGCAAGCACAUCCACACAACCAUCCCACAGCACAGGGAGGGGUUCCCUCAUGGUCAGGGGCCCAUCCUGACAUGCUGAGAUCCUCUCCCCAUGGCGCAGUGGCACAGUCCUUGCUUCAUGACGGGGAGAGGCCUCCCAGGGCCAUGGCUGUGGUCAGCACACGGUCACAAGCCGGCUGGGCCGCAUCAUGGUGUGGUGAGGUCCUCCCCUCCGGCCGAGACACACGUCCUGCUUUUCCUCACACGCCUGGAGAAAAAGAAGAAGAGAAGAUUGAGAAAAAUGUUACUAAGUCAGGAAAUCAUUCCGGAGGAGGGGGAGCAGUUCCUCUAACCUCGUGUAUGUGGAAAGAAAGCUAUUUGCUGACUUGGCCUUAUUUUUUAAUUUAUUGUUUUGCCAGCUGCUCAGAUAAAAGGACAAAGCUCUGCCUGCUGUAAUGAGGCAGCCGCUCGAGCAUGCCUGUACAGCACAGAGCAUCUGGCCGGGACACUGGUGACAAACAGAGAACAGUCCAAAGGGUUCACAGGACACAUCCUUUCAAAUCCCUCAACGGCGAGGACUGAGCACUGGCUCUUUCUUCCUCCCAUGGGAACUGGAAAUCUCCUGGAGAUCAUUAACUUUGGCAGACAGGGCUCUCACAUAUUAAGGAUCACAAGACCCGUGAUACAAAAUCCCAUGAGCUCGCUGAUUAAGCCUUUCUGCCAGGCCUCCACCACCCCGGGCUCCACAGCCAUCUCCUAGGGUGACCUCCCAUGGACACAGGGCCAGCUGCUUCUCUGCAGGAGUUCCUGUCAUUUUCUUAUGUUUUGGAGAAUAUCCUCUUUCCAAGAAAAGGCCUGUAGUGGUAUUCCGCUCUGGAGCUCACUGCUGCAGGAUCUUGAGGCCUGAAAGAACAGAGAGUCAAAGACCCUUUCUCAAAGGAAGAUCCUUGGAAAAUGGCUAAAUGCCAAGUUGAACAUAAGUGAGCCAUGUUGUCCCUGUGCCACAGCAGGGACAUCGCAGGUGGAGCUUGACAGGCACCUGCCUGCUCCGUGCACCUUUGUAGGCAUCUGCCAGUGCUUCCAGGGGACAAGUGGGCCUGUUGGCCUGACAGACACAGGCAGUUUGUGCACACAUACUGGUGUGGAAAGGAGAGGGUUUACCACCGUGAUGCUUAGGUAACAAUCCACACACAGACCGGGGUGGGCUUCAGCCUUUCACCUGGAGCUUGGGUGCCGUUGUGCCUCUGUUUUGUCACAAAGGCUCAGGGGUGAACAUGACGAGCUUUACUCUGCUGUAUUUACUCACCAGGGGAAGCACUUACUCACAUCAGGCCUCUCACUGCAAAGUCAUUGUGACUGGGCACAAGAGCACUGUGCAGGCUUCUGUCCCAAAUUAUGGCGGUGCUUCUGCCUCACUUUAUUCUAUGAUUCCAUGAUUAUGUCAGUACUUUGCCCCCAGUUGACAGCAUGGCAAAGAAACCUUACAGUAUAUAAACCUCUGUAAGACUACAACUCCGACAAGUUGAGACUGGAUGGGGAUAUCAUCACAAGGCCCAACAAUAGCUUUACACUCAAUUACAUUUAUGGUUUCUGUGAUUCAUCUAAAUGUUUGUGGCUUUGUCACUACCUGGAAGUUAAGAAAAGAAAAAGAAAAAGGAAAAGAAAGCCCCGGAAUGAACAGUUUUCUGCUGCAAGACACUGGGUGACACAACAGAAACUGAGCAACUACCUUUAGUGGAGGCAGCAGUGGCUGGAGGUGAAUGUUUUCCCACCACAGCGCCGUGAGAUAAACAAGGGGCAGCUGAUUCACGCCGCACUUAUUUUCUGCCAUCCACCCUUCGUGUCACCCUGAUAUUUCUUCAAACGAUAAGCCUGCGUGAGCGCUCACGCUGCGCCGCCGAGGUCCGAGUUUCAUCUCUUUCUGCAAAUUGCACGUUAAUUAACCAUUAAUAACAGCGGGAGUUGCAUGCAGAAAUCCACACCCACAGUGACGGGGCUGUGCCCUGGCUGAGCUGCUGAUAGCUGCACUAUGGGGCCGGGUUGGCCUCGGCAGCUCCACAGGCACUGCUCCCCGUCCCCAGAGAGGAAAACAAACCAACGCUGGCCAGCCCUAAUCUCACCAUAAAGAAAAGCGUUACCUCUUGCUCUAUGAAUUUUAUUUAUUUUGGUCCUCUGGGCAGUGCUUGCUGUUGUUAGAAACAUGAUUGCUUCAUACAGUUAUGUUAAUGUUUGCAUUUGACAGAAUGUAAUUGAUACUUCUGCUGCGACGGCUUCAAAGCCAAAUUAGGAAAUGAAGUGCUGCACAUUAGCUUGUUUAGCUGGUUAAAUGCAUACAGCGCAAUGAAAACUAAUGAGUUCUCUUUAAGGCAUUUUCUAAAUAGCCAGGUUCAUAAAAGAAAAAGAAAAAAAAAGUUCCAGCUGGGAACUCAUAUCCUAAAGGAUUUGUAGUUUUGCUGUAACAAAAAUGGAUCCUGGCUGCAAUACGGAUCCUGGGUUUCACUCGGAGAGUGGGAUUUUGCAAGUUACGGAGGAAUAUAGCGUAAGAACUGUUGCAAAUUUCACGGUACUUUCACCAACAAUAGUUCUGAGAGAUGUUGCAUUUAACAAAGACAUUUUUACAAGGGAUUAAUUCAGAACAUGGUUGUAUGUCAGGCUAUUCUUCUCAGUGCUCUGUAGGGAAACUCUGUGUUCGUAAGAAACAUUUGCACAGGAUAUUUCUUCAUGCUGCCAAACCUGUGCAGUGCCAGAACCCUGGAAUCACAGAAUAGUUUGGGUUAGAAGGCAUCUUAGAGCCCAUGCAGCCCCAACCCCUGCUGUGGGCAGGGCUGCCACCCACCAGCUCGGGCUGCCCAGGGCCCAUCCAGCCUGGCCUUGAGCUCCUCCAGGGAUGGGGCACCCACAGAUCUCUGGGCAGCUGUGCCAGCGCCUCACCACCCUCUGAGCAAAGGAUUUAUUCCCAACGUCUAACCUACAUCUCCCCUCUUUUAGUUUAAAGAGAACUAAAGCUAAAUGGUUUUUUUCAUCCCGACAGAAUGCAUGAAAAAAAAUGAACAAAAAAUCUGCUUUUGUAUAAAGAGAUAAUCUGAAGAGAUUUGCUUGACAGAGUGCACUCAGCACUGAUUGAAUAAUUUGUGUGUUUAAAGCUAUCUCUGGGGCCUGCCCUCAAUCCAUUAACACAGAGCUGAGAGGAGCACCGCACAGCCUUUGUGAUUCAGCCAAGUGCAAUGAAUCUCUCUAUGUAUCUUUAUAAAAGAGUGUGGGGUUUUCGUUUUUUUUUUUCCUUUCCUUCGUAAAUAACUGAUGAAGAAGUGCCUUAGCCUGAUUUUAAGGUGUCCUAAAAUCAGGGUCCUUGUUUGCAUCAGUGAAACUGGAAUUCAAUCAGUGCUUCAUAAUGAGCUGCCCAUACGCUCGGCAGUGUCACACGCUUGGCAAGGAGACGCUGACCUUCAGUCUGAGUACGCUGAGCUGGCUGCUUCACCUGGUGCUCCAGGAGGAAGCUGGCUUACACUCUGCUCUAUUGCUUGAAAAAUUAUCGAACGGAGGGCUAAAAAGCAGCUGAAGUAUCAAUUCAGUGUUGAUAAAAAUAUAAUCCGGGAGAUAAGGGAGGCAGCUGGACGCUAGUUGAGGAUGGAGCCCAGGAUGUCGUGGAAAAACCACAACUUUCUGUUGUUUCCAGCAGCAAAUGGAUGAGCAGCAAAGGCUCCCAGCACCUUCCGGAGAGGCCAGCAACUUCUUUCAACUUCAGUACAAAAUGGUGAGCGGCUCUAAGAAAUAAACAAGAGAUUCCUGCAGCCCUCGUCCAAAGGGACCAUUUAAAAAUAGACAAAUUAUGACUCGAGAUGAAAUGUAUGCAUUGCAUAAAUCAAAGUUCUCACACCCACCAUCAGAGUUUAAUCACUUUAUAUGCUGGUCUUUCAACAUGCUCUGAAACUUUGUAUACAAUAAUACAAACGACGAGGUUACGAAGCAAUA